rnacentral:rRNA from 1 species
UCUCAGUUCGGAUUGGAGUCUGCAACCCGACUCCAUGAAGCUGGAUCCGCUAGUAAUCGCGCAUCAGCCACGGCGCGGUGAAUACGUUCCCGGGCCUUGUACACACCGCCCGUCAAGCCAUGGGAGCCGGGGGUGCCUGAAGGCCGUGACCGCGAGGAGCGGCCUAGGGUAAAACUGGUGACUGGGGCUAAGUCGUAACAAGGUAAC